AUACGUAGGGGGCAAGCGUUAUCCGGAAUUACUGGGCGUAAAGGGUGCGUAGGUGGCCUGACAAGUCAGGGGUUAAAGGCAACGGCUCAACCGUUGUAAGCCCUUGAAACUGUCGGGCUUGAGUUCAGGAGAGGAAAGCGGAAUUCCUAGUGUAGCGGUGAAAUGCGUAGAUAUUAGGAGGAACACCAGUGGCGAAGGCGGCUUUCUGGACUGAUACUGACACUGAGGCACGAAAGCGUGGGGAGCAAACAGGAUUAGAUACCCUGGUAGUCCACGCCGUAAACGAUGAGUACUAGGUGUCGGCCCUAAGGGUCGGUGCCGCAGUUAACACAUUAAGUACUCCGCCUGGGAAGUACGCUCGCAAGAGUGAAACUCAAAGGAAUUGGCGGGG
rnacentral:rRNA from 1 species